UCAAACACUGGUUCCCGUGUGAUCACCGAAAUUAAGUGACGUCUAGCCUAGUCAGUACUUAGAUGGUUGACCGUUUUGGAAUAUCAGGUGCC